rnacentral:rRNA from 1 species
GACAGAGGGUGCAAACGUUGUUCGGAAUUACUGGGCGUAAAGCGCGUGUAGGCGGCUAGGUAAGUCAGGCGUGAAAUCCCACGGCUCAACCGUGGAAGUGCACCUGAUACUGCAUAGCUAGAGUCCUGGAGAGGAAGGUGGAAUGCUUGGUGUAGAGGUGAAAUUCGUAGAUAUCAAGCGGAACACCGGUGGCGAAGGCGGCCUUCUGGACAGUGACUGACGCUGAGACGCGAAAGCGUGGGGAGCAAACAGG